rnacentral:lncRNA from 1 species
GUGCGGGGGCGGGGCGGAGCGGCGGCUGGAGGCGGAGCGGGGGCUGCCUUCGAGUCGGCCGGCGAGCGGCUGCCGGUGGAGCGAUGCUGCGGCCGGAGGAACGGCCCGGGCGCCGCGCGGGAGCGGCGGCGGCGGAGGAGGAGGAGAUCGAGGCCGGGCGGUCGGCCCCGCAGCGCAGGGAGGCAGGCGGUUAGAAGGUGGUAGAUCAGAAUUCUGGAUGAGAGCAUUCCACUCAUUAAAGACAAGCUCCACAGGCAUUAGAAAGUUGCACACCAUGUUUCCUUCCUAG